AGACCAAAUAUCAUAAUAACUAUAAAAAUAAUGUAAUUUAUUCAUUACAAGAAUUAGAUGAAAUAAGGUUAAAAAUACUACUUACAGAGAAGCAAGUGAAGAUAUUCAAAUAAAGAUAAAUAGAAACAAAUAUAGAAGACCUUGUUGACAAUAUAAAUCUACCAAGAUAAGAAGAUGAAUUUGACUUGAAUAGAAAAAAUGAUGAAGAGUAUUUGAAUGAAGGUGUGAAAAAUAUAAUAUGAAUCAAACAAGAUUUAGAUUAUUUGGUGCAUAUCAAAGAAUGUACAAGUUCAAAGAAGGUGGAUGUCAUAUAUUAAUACAACUAUACGGUAAAAAAUAAAAACAUAGA
rnacentral:lncRNA from 1 species